UCCAUUGUCGUCUAGUCCGGAUAUCUGGUUUUCACCCAGACUACCCGGGUUCAAAUCCCGGCAAUGGAA
rnacentral:tRNA from 1 species